rnacentral:rRNA from 1 species
GACGAAGGGGGCUAGCGGUGCGCGGAAUCACUGGGCGUAAAGCGCACGUAGGCGGAUUCCUAAGUCGGGGGUGAAAUCCUGGAGCUCAACUCCAGAACUGCCUUCGAUACUGGGAGUCUCGAGUCCGGGAGAGGUGAGUGGAACUCCGAGUGUAGAGGUGAAAUUCGUAGAUAUUCGGAAGAACACCAGUGGCGAAGGCGGCUCACUGGCCCGGUACUGACGCUGAGGUGCGAAAGCGUGGGGAGCAAACAGG